UUCACUUUACACUGGUGGGACUAGCAGUCUUGUUUACUUUCUUGUUGCCAAGCUUUGAGGCACACAAACACGGAAGACAUUAGAGUGUUUUCUGCAGGAAGAGCGCUGGCCAAGCCCACAUGGGUCCCUGUGGUUUCUGUGCCUGUGGGGGUCUCUUCCUGGGGGCUGCCCAGUCAGAACCAAGUUCUGUGACUAUAAGGAAAUGCCGUAGCCACUGAUCUGACCCUAGUCUAAAAGAGAAUAGUCAGCCAUAUAUAAGCCACCACAGCUAGUUCAAAAAAUAGCAUUUGAAUUAAAACCUAAGAGGAGAAGAACAUGUUGGAUGUACGCCAGGAAGCAAACACAAGUGGAAAGACCAAAUCCCCCUUGACCUCCCAGGCUCCCAUCACCUCGGAUCCGCCCACUCUGGGGACAGAAGUGAAGCUGUAGUGUGGACCUUCUCGUGACUGCUUAUCUCAACAAACAUCACUUCUUCAAGACUCAUCCAUGGUGCACUGGGAGGUGAUGGCAUCCCCUUCUGUCUUCUUUUUAAUUAAAAAAAUAAUUUAUUUUUA
ensembl:lncRNA